ACAGUGAGGAGAUAUUUUUAAACUGUCAAAUUAAAAUAAGGGCAUCAUUUUUUUGUACUUUCACCAAAACAAGAGGAAUAGAUACUAAACCAGCUAAAGGAUGAGAGAGAGAGUGCUGUUGUACUAAAUCACGUCUUAAUGCAUCUUAGCCAAUCAAAUGACUUCGCCCAAACUGACUGCUAUAAUGGAUAAUACAUAGAUCUAUUAAAUGGUCACUCACAUUCAACUUGUGACCUUUUUGAUCCCUUAUGAACAAUGUUUCAUUGUAGAAAAUAUAGCUUAAACUUGAUCACAUAAGUCACUUUGAUAACUCAAAAUGUAAAGAAGGAUCUAUUUUGGGUACCUUAACACUGGUGAGAUAACAAUCGAACUAUAUACACGAGAUCUAAACAUUUGCCUCUAAUUUGUUUUUAAACGCUAAUAUAAGUGGCAGAAAACGUAAAUACUCAUGGAGGGGAUAAACAACCGCAAAUUUAUGUCAUACUUACUUAUGGAGAUACUGUAGGUGUACUUUAUUUCCAUUUGACCACAGCUUAGUCCACCUUCUACCUCUGUAAGCCAUCUUACAACGCAGACAGAACAUGAAAUAACGCAGAACGAUAGAAAGAGAACUAUCAAGAUGGUUUAUUAUUGAUACAUUAAUGGACAUGGUGUGAAAUGGCGGCUCAGAUAUUCAAAAACUCAUCUAUAGAGCUUCAUUUCCGGUCUGUGACUGACGCAAACCGGCGCGCUCUUACCGUUGCCCCACUUUCUCGCUGAGCUCGUGGCAUGUCAU